AUUUGAGCUAUUUUGAAACUAUUUUUUCUCUAGAAUUAAGUGCUGAGAGAUCCAUAUUGAGACUGGAUUGUGUAGGUUUCCCUGUGUUGACUUGAGAACACAUGGCUUUUGAACUUGAUUACAAUUUGGGGGUCUUUGAAUCUUGAUUACUUAGCUAUUUUUCCUCCUGCUUUGUUGAAGUAUUGCUUGAUACUAGUUUGUAAAGUUGUUAUAAUCUGUGUGUCUUAUUUUUGAUACAUUAGCUUUUUUGUGUAUAUUAAGGUAGUUUUAUGUACAUUUAAAAAAUGAACAUGUAUUUUAAUUUUUCUACCAGCAAGUUGAAGUAGAUGCACAACAGUGUAUGCUUGAAAUCUUGGAUACUGCAGGAACGGAGCAAUUUACAGCAAUGAGGGAUUUAUACAUGAAAAAUGGACAAGGAUUUGCAUUAGUUUAUUCCAUCACAGCACAGUCCACAUUUAACGAUUUACAAGACCUGAGA
rnacentral:sRNA from 1 species